rnacentral:rRNA from 1 species
CAUACAAGGCAUACGGCUCAGUAACGCGUAGUCAACCUAACCUAUGGACGGGAAUAACCUCGGGAAACUGAGAAUAAUGCCCGAUAGAACAUUAUGCCUGGAAUGGUUUAUGAUCCAAAUGAUUUAUCGCCGUAGGAUGGGACUGCGGCCUAUCAGUUUGUUGGUGAGGUAAUGGCCCACCAAGACUAUUACAGGUACGGGCUCUGAGAGGAGUAGCCCGGAGAUGGGUACUGAGACACGGACCCAGGCCCUAUGGGGCGCAGCAGGCGAGAAAACUUUGCAAUGUGCGAAAGCACGACAAGGUUAAUCCGAGUGGUUUCUGCUAAAGAAACCUUUUGUCAGUCCUAGAAACACUGAUGAAUAAGGGGUGGGCAAGUUCUGGUGUCAGCCGCCGCGGUAAAACCAGCACCUCAAGUGGUCAGGAUGAUUAUUGGGCCUAAAGCAUCCGUAGCCGGCUCUGUAAGUUUUCGGUUAAAUCUGUACGCUCAACGUACAGGCUGCCGGGAAUACUGCAGAGCUAGGGAGUGGGAGAGGUAGACGGUACUCGGUAGGAAGGGGUAAAAUCCUUUGAUCUAUUGAUGACCACCUGUGGCGAAGGCGGUCUACCAGAACACGUCCGACGGUGAGGGAUGAAAGCUGGGGGAGCAAACCGGAUUAGAUACCCGGGUAGUCCCAGCUGUAAACUAUGCAAACUCAGUGAUGCAUUGGCUUGUGGCCAAUGCAGUGCUGCAGGGAAGCCGUUAAGUUUGCCGCCUGGGAAGUACGUACGCAAGUAUGAAACUUAAAGGAAUUGGCGGGGGGAGCACCACAAGGGGGUGAAACCCUGCGGGUUCAAUUGGAAUUCAACGCCCGGGAAAGGGCGAAAU